GAAGUGAAUAACAACGAACCGCAGACAGCAGGUGUCGAGGCAACUCGACUUAAUGUCCUGCCGAGGUCAAGAAGUGAUAACCUUUAACUAGGUAACUUAUGCCCUCGUAGACUGUCUGCGGGGGUUUUCUUCUUGAUCA
rfam:Tumebacillus sp. AR23208, complete genome.